UACGUAGGGUGCAAGCGUUGUCCGGAAUUAUUGGGCGUAAAGAGCUCGUAGGCGGUUUGUCGCGUCGAAUGUGAAAUCCCGGGGCUCAACCCCGGGUCUGCAUUCGAUACGGGCAGACUAGAGUUCGGUAGGGGAGUCUGGAAUUCCUGGUGUAGCGGUGAAAUGCGCAGAUAUCAGGAGGAACACCGGUGGCGAAGGCGGGACUCUGGGCCAAUACUGACGCUGAGGAGCGAAAGCGUGGGGAGCAAACAGG
rnacentral:rRNA from 1 species